rnacentral:tRNA from 1 species
GGGCGCUUAGCUCAGCUGGUUCAGAGCGUCUGCCUUACAAGCAGAGGGUCGGGGGGUCGCAUCCCUCCGCGCCCA